rnacentral:rRNA from 1 species
GAUGAACGCUGGCGGCGUGCCUAAUACAUGCAAGUCGAGCGAACAGAUGAGGAGCUUGCUCCUCUGACGUUAGCGGCUGACGGGUGAGUAACACGUGGAUAACCUACCUAUAAGACUGGGAUAACUUCGGGAAACCGGAGCUAAUACCGGAUAAUAUACUGAACCGCAUGGUUCAAUAGUGAAAGACGGUUUUGCUGUCACUUAUAGAUGGAUCCGCGCCGCAUUAGCUAGUUGGUAAGGUAACGGCUUACCAAGGCAACGAUGCGUAGCCGACCUGAGAGGGUGAUCGGCCACACUGGAACUGAGACACGGUCCAGACUCCUACGGGAGGCAGCAGUAGGGAAUCUUCCGCAAUGGGCGAAAGCCUGACGGAGCAACGCCGCGUGAGUGAUGAAGGUCUUCGGAUCGUAAAACUCUGUUAUUAGGGAAGAACAAAUGUGUAAGUAACUAUGCACGUCUUGACGGUACCUAAUCAGAAAGCCACGGCUAACUACGUG